rnacentral:rRNA from 1 species
GAUGAACGCUGGCGGCGUGCCUAAUACAUGCAAGUCGAGCGAACAGAUAAGGAGCUUGCUCCUUUGACGUUAGCGGCGGACGGGUGAGUAACACGUGGGUAACCUACCUAUAAGACUGGAAUAACUCCGGGAAACCGGGGCUAAUGCCGGAUAACAUUUAGAACCGCAUGGUUCUAAAGUGAAAGAUGGUUUUGCUAUCACUUAUAGAUGGACCCGCGCCGUAUUAGCUAGUUGGUAAGGUAACGGCUUACCAAGGCAACGAUACGUAGCCGACCUGAGAGGGUAAUCGGCCACACUGGAACUGAGACACGGUCCAGACUCCUACGGGAGGCAGCAGUAGGGAAUCUUCCGCAAUGGGCGAAAGCCUGACGGAGCAACGCCGCGUGAGUGAUGAAGGUCUUCGGAUCGUAAAACCCUGUUAUUAGGGAAGAACAAAUGUGUAAGUAACUGUGCACGUCUUGACGGUACCUAAUCAGAAAGCCACGGCUAACUACGUG